UGAGGAAUAUUGGGCAAUGGGCGAAAGCCUGACCCAGCAACGCCGCGUGAGGGAUGAAGGCCUUCGGGUUGUAAACCUCUUUUCUGGGAGAAGAGACAAGGACGGUAUCCCAGGAAUAAGUCUCGGCUAACUACGUGCCAGCAGCCGCGGUAAUACGUAGGAGGCUAGCGUUAUCCGGAUUCACUGGGCGUAAAGCGCACGCAGGCGGUCAUGUAAGUCGGACGUGAAAGCUCCUGGCUCAACUGGGAGAGGUCGUUCGAUACUGCAUGGCUUGAGGUUGGGAGAGGGAAGCGGAAUUCCCGGUGUAGUGGUGGAAUGCGUAGAUAUCGGGAGGAACACCAGUGGCGAAAGCGGCUUCCUGGCCCAUACCUGACGCUCAGGUGCGAAAGCGUGGGGAGCGAACGGG
rnacentral:rRNA from 1 species